ACUACAUACAUUAAAUUGGGAAGUACCCAUGCAGCAGCAGUAAGAAGAAGAUAUGUUUCAGAAAAGGAAACAUUUGCCGUGUAAACUGCCGAUUCCAAGUUCGAAUAAAGGAGUAGGGAAGUCAUUUUUCUUCUAAUUGGUGCAAUUGUAUGUUUUAUUUUUGGCGCAAAUGAUACUAUGUAAUUUUAAAACAUGUGGCGCAAACGUAGCAUUGGAG
rnacentral:lncRNA from 1 species